ensembl:snRNA U6 U6 spliceosomal RNA
GUACUCCCUUUAGCAUCAUAUACACUAAAAUUAGAAUAAUAUAGCAAAGAUUAGCAUGGCUCCUGCACAAGGAUGAUAUACAAAUUUUUGAAGCAUUCCAUAUUUUU